AAUGAAAACUAUACAAUUUUUGUGUUUCUGUAUUUCCAUUUUGAUUAUUAUUAUUUGAGAUUAGUAUAGGGCUAUACGGACUCGAACCGUAGACCUUCUCGGUAAAACAGAUCGAACUAAUUCUUAUCAAAAUGAUUCGAACUCUUUCAAAGACCCAACAUGCAUUUUUUUUUUUUUGCAUUGGGCUCUUUCAUUAACUGAUAGAAAUAUCAGUUAGUCUACCAUAUUUUUUUCUUGACAGACAACUAAGGAAAUGGCUCCAUGUGCUCUAAUUCAUUAUUUGGAUUCGGAUAUAGGAGCACUCCCAAAGUGUUUCAAAGAAGGGUUAUCUUGACGUAGGUCUGCUUAUGGCCUAGAUCAACCUAAACGAAAUGGAGUCUCUAUCAUCCUGAUUAAAGAAUCACAUAUGAAACUUCAUACGCCUUAAGGUUCAUAGAACGAAAAGAGAAUUUUUGAGGUCCUUAUACUCAUUAUGCCUAGCAUUGAAUAGACUAGGUAUUUACCUUAUCAAUCUCUCAAAUCGAUGAUGGAUUCUAUUUGGUUCCUAAAAGGGCACCCGAAUCGGACCGAUCCAUUUGUCAGGCUAUUGUUCUCUUGUUUUGUUCCCUACAAGCCACGGAGUCAGACAUUAAUUUCUCAAAAAGAUCAAUUCUUUUGAUUGCAUGAUGGACUCCUCUGAAAAACAUUGGCGCACGUGUAAACGAGGUGCUCUACCUAACUGAGCUAUAGCCCUUGUCCUUGUGAUACAUAUUUUAUCAUAUUAUGUAGAUAAUUUCUUGUCAAGAUGAAUAUUCCAUGAUCCCACACCAUAUCUCUUUGAUCUUUUGGAUUGGUAUUGCUUAGAAGUCCUAUUAGAUUUAUACUCCAUCGAUGGGAUGUGAUGGGUCUCUUUUUGUUUUUUGUUAUAAUGAUAAAUGACCUACUUAACUCAGUGGUUAGAGUAUUGCUUUCAUACGGCGGGAGUCAUUGGUUCAAAUCCAAUAGUAGGUAGAAAUUAUUAGAUACCACGGCCAAUGGUAUCUAAUAAGUUUUUCUACUCACCUUUGUUUAUUGAUUUUGUAUCUUUUCUAUCCGAUUCAAUUUGAUUUUCGAAUUGAAACCUUUUUCCUUCCGUCAGAAUCCAAUUCCACUUGAUUGAAUUUAAUUGGAUUCAAUUGGCAGAAUCAAAAUAGGGGUAUAAACAGAAAUUCGUUGGAUUAUUCUAUUCGGGCGCACCAACUAGUUAUGAAAUCGCAUUGAUAACCUCUACUCGUGUCCUAGCUCGUCUGAGAGCUAGAUUUGCCUCAAUUGUUUGUCUCUUGCUUUCAGCUUUCCUCAAAUUAGCUUCUGCUAUUUCAAGAGUUUGCUGGGCUUCUUGGGGAUCAAUGUCACUACUCUUCUCCGCAUCAUUUACUAAAAUAGUGAUCUCAUUAUUCCCUAUUCUAGCAAAACCACCCAUCAGAGCCAUCGUUAACCAUUGGUCGUUAAAGCGGAUUCUUAAAAUACCUAUAUCUACAGCUGUGGCAAUAGGCGCGUGAUUUGGUAAUACGCCGAUUUGUCCACUAUUAGUAGAUAAAAUGAUUUCUUUCACUUCUGAAUCCCAAACAAUUCGAUUAGGGGUCAGUACACAAAGAUUUAAGGUCAUUUCUUCAAAUUACUCUCCAUUUCUAAGUUUGUAGCCUUCGCAGUAACUUCAUCUAUGUUACCUACCAAAUAAAAGGCCUGCUCAGGAAGACCAUCUAAUUCUCCGGACAGGAUCAAUUUAAACCCUCUAAUAGUUUCGGCUAGACCAACAUAUUUCCCCGGGGAACCGGUAAAUACUUCGGCUACGAAAAAGGGUUGUGAUAAGAAACGCUCAAUUUUUCGCGCCCUUGCUACAGUUAAACGAUCCUCUUCGGACAGUUCGUCCAACCCAAGGAUAGCUAUAAUGUCCUGAAGUUCUUUGUAACGUUGUAAAGUUUGCUUAACUCUUUGCGCCGUUUCAUAAUGUUCCUCGCCAACGAUCCGAGGUUGCAGCAUAGUUGACGUUGAGUCUAAAGGAUCAACUGCUGGAUAGAUACCUUUAGCAGCUAAUCCUCUUGAUAGUACGGUAGUAGCAUCUAAAUGGGCAAAUGUCGUGGCAGGAGCGGGAUCAGUCAAAUCAUCCGCGGGUACAUAAACUGCUUGAAUAGAAGUUAUGGACCCCUCUUUGGUAGAAGUAAUUCUUUCUUGUAAAGAACCCAUUUCGGUACUAAGGGUAGGUUGAUAACCCACAGCGGAAGGCAUUCUACCCAAUAAGGCGGAUACCUCGGAUCCCGCUUGGACGAAACGGAAGAUAUUGUCGAUAAAUAGAAGUACGUCUUGUUCAUUAACAUCUCGGAAAUAUUCCGCCAUAGUUAGGGCCGUCAAACCAACUCUCAUACGAGCUCCUGGUGGUUCAUUCAUCUGACCGUAGACUAGAGCCACUUUUGAUUCCGAAAGAUUUUGGUCAUUAAUUACUCCAGACUCUUUCAUUUCCAUGUAAAGAUCAUUUCCUUCACGAGUACGUUCACCGACUCCGCCAAAUACGGAUACACCCCCAUGGGCUUUGGCAAUGUUGUUGAUCAAUUCCAUAAUGAGUACUGUUUUACCCACCCCAGCUCCCCCAAAUAGUCCGAUUUUUCCUCCCCGACGAUAAGGAGCUAAAAGAUCUACUACUUUAAUUCCUGUUUCAAAAAUAGAUAAUCUUGUAUCUAACUGUAUAAAAGCAGGCGCGGAUUUAUGAAUAGGGGAUGUUGUGCGAGUAUCUACAGGACCUAAAUUAUCAACGGGCUCUCCAAGCACGUUGAAAAUUCGUCCUAGAGUCACUCCGCCGACUGGAACACUUAGAGGAGCUCCCGUGUCAAUUACUUCCAUACCCCUCGUUAGACCAUCUGUAGCACUCAUGGCUACAGCUCUAACUCGAUUAUUCCCUAAUAAUUGCUGUACCUCGCAAGUCACAUUAAUUGGUUGAUCGACAGUAUCUCGACCCUUAACUACCAGAGCAUUGUAAAUAUUAGGCAUCUUGCCGGGGGGAAAGGCUACAUCCAGUACCGGACCAAUGAUUUGAGCGAUAUGUCCUAGGUUUUUGUUUGCAAACGCGGAAACCCCAGGACCGGAAGUAGUAGGAUUUAUUCUCAUAAUAAUAAAGUGAAAGAUGUCAAUUUUUUUUUUUUUUCGAACUUGAUCGCAUCCAAAAAAAUCUUCGAUAGCACGUGGAUCGGUUAAUUCAAUAAGAAAUGGGAGUUCGCGCUCGAUUUCGUUGGUACCGUCCAACCGAAUGCAAUUCAAUAGUUUCCUUAUGCUUAUGCAUUUAUGCAAUUUCAAUGAGGGAAUUUUCAAGUUCAACCAACCGACUUUCAAAAUAUCAAGUGGGUGAAUAAAAAUCUUGAGAAAGUCGUUCAUUAUAUCUAUCAUUAUAGACAAUACCCGCCAUAUUAUCUAUGGAGUUCGAACCUGAACUCUCUUUUUCGAUUCAUUAUUUCUAUCUCAUUGGACCUUAUUUCUUAUUUUAGCAUAUCGACUUAUGCCUAGUCUAUUCUUUUUUUGGAUAUAUAUACCCUGCUUUUUGAUAUAUAUACCCUGCCUUUCUUUACUGGAUGAAUUACGCAUAUUUUCUUUGCACAUAUAGGAUUUACGUAUACAACACAUAUUACUGUCAAGAGUCAAUUUCUUAUGAUUUAGAAAUUUCGAUUGAAAAAAGGUAAGGGAUUAGAAACUUGAAAGGCGCCGAUUGGGUUGCGCCAUACAUAUGAAAGAGUAUACAAUAAUGAUGUAUUUGGUGAAUCAAAUACCAUGGUCUAAAAAAACAAGGAAACGCUCUGAGUAGGUGAUAAUAUUAAUUGAAAAGCUUGUGAAAGAUUCCUGUGAAGGGGUUUCAUUAACUCCUAAUUUAUGUCGAGUAGACCUUGUUCUUGCGAGAAUUCUUAAUUCAUGAGUUGUAGGGAGGGACUUAUGUCACCACAAACAGAGACUAAAGCGAGUGUUGGAUUCAAGGCCGGUGUUAAAGAUUAUAAAUUGACUUAUUAUACUCCUGACUAUGUAACCAAAGAUACUGAUAUCUUGGCAGCAUUCCGAGUAACUCCUCAGCCCGGAGUUCCACCCGAGGAAGCGGGGGCUGCGGUAGCUGCGGAAUCUUCUACUGGUACCUGGACAGCUGUGUGGACCGAUGGGCUUACCAGCCUUGAUCGUUACAAAGGGCGAUGCUACAACAUUGAGCCCGUUGCUGGAGAAGAGAAUCAAUAUAUAUGUUAUGUAGCUUACCCGUUAGACCUUUUUGAAGAAGGUUCUGUUACUAACAUGUUUACUUCCAUUGUGGGUAAUGUAUUUGGUUUCAAAGCACUGCGCGCUCUACGUCUAGAGGAUCUACGAAUCCCUCCUGCGUAUACUAAAACUUUCCAAGGCCCGCCUCACGGCAUCCAAGUUGAGAGAGAUAAAUUGAACAAGUAUGGCCGUCCCCUGUUGGGAUGUACUAUUAAACCUAAACUGGGGUUAUCCGCGAAGAAUUAUGGUAGGGCGGUUUAUGAAUGUCUACGUGGUGGACUUGACUUUACCAAAGAUGAUGAGAACGUGAACUCCCAACCAUUUAUGCGUUGGAGGGACCGUUUCUUAUUUUGUGCGGAAGCUCUUUAUAAAGCGCAAGCUGAAACAGGUGAAAUCAAAGGUCAUUACUUGAAUGCUACUGCAGGGACAUGCGAAGAAAUGCUAAAAAGGGCUGUCUUUGCCAGAGAGUUGGGAGUUCCUAUCGUAAUGCAUGACUACUUAACAGGGGGAUUCACCGCAAAUACUACCUUGGCUCAUUAUUGCCGAGAUAAUGGUCUACUUCUUCACAUCCACCGUGCAAUGCAUGCAGUUAUUGAUAGACAGAAGAAUCAUGGUAUGCACUUUCGUGUACUAGCUAAAGCUUUGCGUCUGUCUGGUGGAGAUCAUAUUCACGCCGGUACAGUAGUAGGUAAACUUGAGGGGGAAAGAGACAUAACCUUGGGAUUUGUUGAUUUACUACGUGAUGAUUUUGUUGAAAAAGAUCGAAGCCGCGGUAUUUAUUUCACUCAAGAUUGGGUCUCUAUACCAGGUGUUAUACCUGUGGCUUCCGGGGGUAUUCACGUUUGGCAUAUGCCUGCGUUGACAGAGAUCUUUGGAGAUGAUUCCGUAUUACAAUUUGGUGGAGGAACUUUAGGACACCCUUGGGGAAAUGCACCCGGCGCUGUAGCUAAUCGAGUAGCUCUAGAAGCAUGUGUACAAGCUCGUAAUGAAGGACGCGAUCUUGCUCGUGAAGGUAAUGAAAUUAUCCGGGAGGCUAGCAAAUGGAGUCCUGAACUGGCUGCUGCUUGUGAAGUCUGGAAGUCGAUCAAAUUCGAAUUUGCCGCAAUGGAUACUUUGUAAUCCAGUAAUUACCAUUUGGUUUAUUAGUUGAAUUUCAAUUAAACUCGGCCCAAUCUUUUACUAAAAGGAUUGAGCCGAACCCAACGAUUCUAUUGUAGAUGUUUUGGAUAGCUACAUAUUUAUCUAGAUAUCCAAGAUCUUAAAUACAAAAUAUAAGACCAAACGCAACUCUUUCUAUUAUUGCGUUGGAUCCACAAUUAAUCCCAGGGGCUCUUAGGGUUGGUGUAUUCUUUUCUAUUCCGCAGUUUCGUCCCAAGUAUCACAACUUCUUCUACCCAUCCUGUAUAUUGUCCUUUCGUUCCGUGUUGGAAUAGAAACUUAUUCUAUUAGUAGACGAGAUUUUACGAAAAAAGUUCAUUUAUAGGAGAGAACAAAUAUUUCUUUUUUUCGAUACGAAUUUUACACAAUACGAGAGCCGCCCCUAUUUCGAAUUGAAAAGGGUCGUAUAUAGCUAUAUAGCGAAGUGAUACUCCGGGGUCUCACAAAAAAGAAUGAUUUCUUUCAAUUGACUAUUCAUCUAUUGUAUUUUCAUGUAAAUAGGGACAAGAGAGCUCUAUGAAAAAAUGGUGGUUCAAUUCGAUGUUAUCUAAGGGUAAGGGGGAAUUAGAAUACAGGUGUUGGUUAAGUAAAUCAAUGGAGAGCCCUGGUCCUAUUAAAAAUCCCAGUGUAAGCGAGGAACUGAUUAGAAAUGAUAAGAAUAAAAACAUUCAUAGUUCGAGCGAUAGUGACAGUUCAAGUUACAGCAAAUUAGCUGGUGUCAGGGACAUUCAUAAUUUCAUCUCGGAUGACACUUUUUUUGUUAAGGAUAGUAAUAGAGAUAGUUAUUCCAUCUAUUUUGAUAUUGAAAAUCAAAUUUUGGAACUAGACAAUGCUCAUUCUUUUCUGAGUGAACUAGAAAGUUCUUUUUAUAGCUUUCGUAAUUAUAGUUCGAGGAAUAAUGGAUCUAAAAGCGCUGAUCCUGAUUCCGAUCGUUACAUGUAUGAUACUAAAUCGAGUUGGAAUAAUCACAUUCAUAAUUGCCUUGACUCUUAUCUUCAUUCUCAAAUCUGUAUUGAUAGUCACGUUUUAAGUAGUAGUGACAAUUAUAGUGCCAGUUACAUUUAUAAUUUCAUUUGUAGUGAAAGUGAGAGUUCCAAUAUACAAAGUAGCACGAAUGGUAGUGAUUUAACUAUAAGCGAAAGUUCUAAUGAAAGCGAAAGUUCUAAUGAAAGCGAUGUAACUCAAAAAUACAGGCAUUUAUGGGUUCAAUGCGAAAAUUGUUAUGGAUUAAAUUAUAAGAAAUUUCUUAAAUCAAAAAUGUAUCUUUGUGAACAAUGCGGAUAUCAUUUGAAAAUGAUUAGCUCAGAUAGAAUCGACCUUUUGGUUGAUCCAGGUACUUGGGAUCCGAUGGAUGACGACAUGGUCUCUAUAGAUCCCAUUGAAUUUGAUUCAGAAGAGGAACCUUAUAAAAAUCGUAUUGAUUCUUAUCAAAGCAAGACAGGAUUAACAGAGGCUGUUCAAACAGGUACAGGGCAACUAAACGGGAUUCCCAUCGCAAUUGGGGUUAUGGAUUUUCAGUUUAUGGGGGGUAGUAUGGGAUCCGUAGUAGGCGAGAAAAUAACCCGUUUGAUCGAGUAUGCUGCCAAUAAAUUUUUACCUCUUCUUCUAGUGUGUGCUUCUGGGGGAGCACGCAUGCAAGAAGGAAGUUUGAGUUUGAUGCAAAUGGCUAAAAUAUCUUCUGCUUUAUAUGAUUAUCAAUCAAAUAAAAAGUUAUUCUAUGUAUCAAUUCUUACAUCCCCUACUACGGGUGGAGUGACAGCUAGUUUUGGUAUGUUGGGGGAUAUCAUUAUUGCUGAACCUAAUGCCUAUAUUGCAUUUGCAGGUAAAAGAGUAAUUGAACAAACAUUGAAUAAGACAGUACCUGAAGGUUCACAAGAGGCUGAAUAUUUAUUCGAUAAGGGCUUAUUCGAUCCAAUCGUACCACGUAAUCCUUUAAAAGGUGUUCUGAGCGAGUUAUUUCUGUUCCACGGCCGUUUUCCUUUGAAUCAAAAUUAACUCCAGCAGAGUUCUUAAGUGAACUUUUUUUUGUGGCGAACAAUUAGUUAGUUAGUUUAUCCGAAUCAAAAUAAAAUCAAAUCCGAAGAAUGGAUUUUUCUUUGGUGACAUAAAAUUUCAUUGUAGAAAGAAUCGUGCGGAUAAUUAUUUUACCGAUAUGACGGAUUAGUAAUCAGUAAACCUCUCUCAAUAAAACAAGAUCAAAAAGCAUUCUUCCUUAGAAUUAAUUAGGGGCCGGGCAAAUAAAAUGAAUUUCAUGUUCCCCUCUUGCGUAUGUAUCUAAUUCAAAUAGAGAAAAUCGAAACUCUUGCGUCUUUCUAUAUCUCCUAACAAGGACUAUUUUCCUAGGAAUCUCUGCUGUUGGAUCGCAUUCUAACGAAUCCCUAGGGAAUUUGUAAGAAAUUCUUUUCUUUUUUAAUAUCUAAUUUUGUAUUAACAAAAUUAGAUAUUAAAAAAGAAAUCCGAAGCUAAAAACAAGAGAAGAAUAAAAAUAAGUAAUAAUAAUGGAUUAUCAUACAUAUAUUUCAUGUAGAAAGAUGCAUAGGCCCGUUUAUUUAGUUCUACAUUCCUUGCGCUUAGUAUAUAUACUCAUUUAGUAUACUUAGUAUACUUAUAUACAAUUAUAUAAGUAUACUUAAUAUACAUUUAUAUACGAAUUAGAAUAUGAUAAUAAUUAGAAUAUGAAUUCUAAUUAUUAUAGGAUAUCCUUAUACCAAUAACAGGUACAAAUAUUAAAUCGAGGUACCCUUUCUAUGACAAUUCUCAACAGCUUUCCCUCUAUUUUUGUGCCUUUAGUGGGCCUAGUAUUUCCGGCAAUGGCAAUGGCUUCGUUAUUUCUUUAUCUUGAAAAAAAUAAGAUUUUGUAAAUCCGAUCGGAUCAAGGUCAAAUCUCGUCUAGUUUUUUUCAAGACUUAGCGAUGACGGAUAUCCAUUUAGUAGAAUAGUGUAUAAGACUAAGAGGCGGCUUUCCCCGAACAUAAACGAAGAGCUCUUAUGCAUGUGUAAACAUGAUAUAUAGGUACAUAAAUUCUAUCUAUUUUGAACAAGAGGCUGUGAUCCGAACUCAUGUCUGCAAUGAAAGUCAAUGGUACCAAUCUACAGGGACUUAUAUGAAGGGGAUACUCUUAUUUUAUUCUACCUCACCAAUUCGAUGAAUUAUUGCUAAGAGCUCACGUCCAAAUAGUACUAGUUGAUGAGAGUUACUUCGGAAAUACAAAAAGUAAACUAAAAUGGAUUUGGUUUUGGUUAUUUCCCCAAUUCCAAUAAAAUGCAACUGGAGCUAGUAUGUAUGAGUUGGCGAUCAGAAUAUAUAUGGGUAGAAUUUAUAGCGGGCUCUCGCAAACCAGGCAAUUUCUUCUGGGCCUUUAUCCUUUUUUUAGGCUCAUUAGGAUUCUUAGUGGUUGGAAUUUCUAGUUAUCUUGAUAGGAAUUUGCUAUCUUUAUUUCCGUCGCAGCAAAUCAAUUUUUUUCCACAAGGGAUCGUGAUGUCUUUCUACGGGAUCGCGGGUCUCUUUAUUAGUUCCUAUUUGUGGUGCACAAUUAUAUGGAAUGUAGGUAGCGGUUAUGAUCGAUUUGAUACAAAAGAGGGAAUAGUGUGUAUUUUUCGUUGGGGAUUUCCUGGAAAAAAUCGCCGCAUCUUUCUACGAUUCCUUAUGAAAGAUAUUCAGUCCAUCAGAAUAGAAGUUAAAGAGGGUAUUUAUGCUCGUCGUGUCCUUUAUAUAGAAAGCAGAGGCUUGGGGGCCAUUCCCUUGAAUCGUACUGAUGAGAAUUUGACUCCGCGAGAAAUUGAGCAAAAGGCUGCGGAAUUGGCCUAUUUCUUGCGUGUACCAAUUGAAGGAUUUUGAAAAAUGAACUGAAGAAUAAACGCUUUCUUAGCAGGAGGAAACCCCCACGAAUCCAUUUUUCUUUAGCAAAACGGACUUGAUUGAAGUUUCUUCCGAACGACCUGUUGGACCAAAGCAAACGUGUACGGAACAGCCAUAAUCUAAAACGAAACCCUUUUCUUUUAUACUUUCUUUUGUCUUUACUACUGACCAAAGAAUUGGAUCUCAUAAAAUGAGGACUUUUCCGUCUUUUUUUUUUCACUCAUUUUUGAUCAUCACAAUAUUCUUCAGAAAAUUCUCUCAAAUAUUCCUUGGACUAUGCUCGGGGACGGGGCUGGGGAGCCCGCUAAUUUUUUUUUGCGAAAUAUUCGAAAGUUUCAUUUUUAAUAGAAGGUAAGUUCUUUCAUUUCGAAAUGCGACUAAUAUUUAUUUUUUGAAUUUGAAUCUUUCGGGCAUUCAUCGAAGGGGGGAAUCACUUCGAAUAUUUGAUCAAUUGAGAUAUCCGGAAACCCUAUUUUUUUUUAUUAUUUCUUGCUUCAAAUUCAAAUUUGAAUUUGAAGCGAGAAUUCGCGGUGGAUUCUUCUUCGAUUUCUGUAGGUUUGCUACACUCGGUUCAAGGACUAACCGCCGAAUCCCAACUAAAAAAAAAAAGACUCGAUUUAUAGGCGCGAUACCUUGUAAUCGAACUCAUGCUUGAUAGAAAUAUUAGACGCAUAGAAUCAACAAAUGAGGUGGGUUCAUUAACAAUUCACAGAUGAAAAAAUGACAAAAAAGAACGCAUCCAUU
rnacentral:lncRNA from 1 species